rnacentral:misc_RNA from 1 species
UCUGAUCCAUUAACUCCCACAUUUGAGACGAGAUUAAUCUUUCCUGAGGCCUCAUUUGUGACAAGCUUUUCAAUAGGUGAAUUUUGGGGCUCAUUGCUGUUACAAGAUGCCUCAUUACAGUCACUUUUCGCCCCAGGCAUGACAAUAGCAUUAUCAACUUUAGCAGUGUCACUUUUGCUAAUAAUGAAUGGAGCUGAAGGUGGCAAACAAUCUUCCAGAUCUGGGUUUGGAGAGACUUCUUUUGGCAGGUUCUUUGGUAGUGGUGAACUUGAUGGUCCUGCAACAGGAUCUGCUUUUAUCACUAAGCCUUCAGAAAUCAUUGGUCGAUUUUCUUUCUGAAGGAUCCUCUUUGAUGCACCACUUUUUAGUGAAUCUUUUUUAUUAACAGCAGCAGCAGAGCCUAAAGCCAAAGAUCUAUUCCCAACUGAGCCAUUAUCUGCAGGUUCCUUUGACAACUGCUUGAAAACCAAAUUCGUAAUAUUACUGCCAGUAGUUGCUUUUGUACUUUCUUUCCGAACUACAUCGACAGGCUUUUUUGAAACAAAACUUUUUCUAUCACGGACAUAAAAUAGCAUAUAAGCCUUCUGGUCUAGAACAGUCUUCUCACU